UACUCUGCUUGACCAAAUUCCUGCACGCAGCAUUCUUUAAUUGCACAUAUCUUUUAACAUACAGUUUUUUGCAUCAAACUCCAGUUGGAGUCUGAACAGUAUAAUAAAAAUAAGAGGAGAACCUGUUAAGCCCGAAAGCUGCCCAUCACUAAUAUACAGUCUUAGCCAUGUUCACUGCUCCCCCAGCCUGCAGAGGAAGAAAACUGGACUGAAUGAGAAAGAGAAAUUGUGGAUGAACAAAGAUUAAGUUGUAAAUUUAUGCUGACACCCCAGCUAUGUAACACUUUCCCAAUACGACUGUGGUUGUCUUCCACGCUUUUGCCAUUUGAGAAUCAAUACAGGUGUUUUGUUCUGCAGCAUGUUUGUACUGCUGGUUUUUUAAAAAUUGUGAUUUGCCAUUUUGGAGGUGUCAUUUAAGUAUGUUUAAUGGAGGCUGUUAGUUGUGCUAGAUUCCUGUAUGUAAGGGGGAAAUUCAAAAGACAUCAGAUAACUAAAUGGCAUAGGAAAUUCCACUCCGCAUGUACGGGUUUUUACAGUACAGAAAAUAUUUAAUUUGGGCCAUUAAAAAUACCGAUAUAAUUCUGCAAAGUUAUGCACUCCUAAAUUCCAUCAGUUAUCCAUUUGAAAAAUGUAUCAAUUACUUCCUACACAGGUGACACACACACUUUCUACGCUGAAGCUCCCAAACCAGUAUACAGUACUGUAUAGCACAAUAAAACCAACUAGAUAGUACAAUUAUUUUUGCAAACUAAACACUUCCAUAUUCUGUAAAAUUUAUUUAAGGGGUAGCCAAAACAGUUUGGAAAAAAUGUAAUAUUUAUAUAGAAAUCAGAAUUAUGGUGGAAAGUGUACUUUUGAUUGUUUCUCUGCAGCUAGUACCCGACAAUUCUAGCCACUCUUAACAUCAUCAUCAACAAACUUUUAGUUUAUAUUUAGGGUUGCCAUGUGUCCCUUAGUCGAAGAAAUUACCUUUAUUUGAAAGAUGGGAAGGGUUGUCCUCUAUUUGAGGGUUGGAAAGAUUUUCCUUUUUCAUAGACUGAUAAAUAUGCCCAAAAAGUCUAUACUUUUGGCUGUGGGCCUUCAUAAGAUGUCUGCAUCAUCUAAUUUUCUGAAUAUGAACAAUAUGUUAAUUUUACAAAGAAACUGUGAAAAGAAAUCAAUACUUUCAUUUAGUAUUUAGGAAGAAUACAAACUUGUUAAUAACUGCUUCUGGAUUGUCAACCUUGCAUAUCAUGAAUUUUGAUAGUCUCUCAUUGCUAUUUUGAAAACCUGGCAAAACUAGCUAAAUCCUGCUACCUAUUGGUAAUACCAAGUCCAGCAAAAAGUGAGCCUACACUAGCAGUUUUCCCUUGCUGAACAAGGCAGGAUUUACAUCAAUGAAAGUAUGUAGGGGUAGGCUGUGGAGUUGCUAGGGUAGGAUUUAAUAACAAAUGAUCUCUUUACUAUAUUUUUCAACAGUGGGCCCUCGGUAUCUGCCACAGUUUGGUUCCAGGAUCCCCCAUGGAUACCAAAUCCGUACAUACUUACAUCCCAUAAUAUGCAAUGGCAGAGUAAAAUGGCGUCCUUUAUAUAAAAAGGCAAAAACAAGGUUUGAUUUUUGGAUAUUUUUUUUUAAUUACGUUUAAGCCAUACAUGAUUGAAUCAUUAAAUGCAGAAUCCAUGGAUAUGGUGGGACAACUGGGACAGCAAGUUAGAAAACAAACCUUCCCCAACUGCCAGCAGUCUCCAAAUGUGUGGAAUCACAAAUCCCACAUCUACAACCAGGCUAUACUGAGGAUGGGGAGAGUCUCACACAGUGCUUGUUAGAUUAUAUUAUGUGAAGGACUGACUUUUUUUUUAAGUGUCACAAAAUGAUAUCCUAUUUGUGUCUAUUUACUUACAACUAUUCCUUUUUUUUCAUGGAAACUGACCAUGGACUGGCUGCUGAUGGCUUAUGGAUGGGAUACCAUGCACCAAGGCUUUGAGUAGCACUGGUCUAAGGCAUCUGGAGGCCAAAAGGUUGAGAAAGCUAAAGGAUACUUUAAAAAAAUUAAUGGACUUUUUGCUCUGAAAGUAAAACUGCAUGAUAGUAUUGAAGCAGAGAAGGGGACAGGACACUCAGAGGCGUCUGGACCCAGGACCCCAGGCAACUUUACCGCCACCAAGUUGUGCAGCUCUGAGAUGAAGGAGGAAGAAACUGGAAUAAAAGAAAUAAAAAAGGAAAGGAAAAUGAAGUAAAAGCAACCUCAGUCUGCUUGGGAAUAGCGAGGGGGAGAAGAGGAGAGUCACCUCCAUUCAUACCAUGCGACUGGCAGAAUAGUGGACCUACAGCAGAAGGGAACUAUCGCACCAGAGAGGCCUCUGGGCUCAAGGAAAGCCAGGAGAGGAUGGGGAGACCCCCAGGAACUAAAGGCAGAGCUGGUAGAAACAGCCUGAGAAGAGCUUGUUGUUGGCUAAGCUUCCGCAGCUGACACCUGGGAAGCUACAAGCAGGAAUUUCCUUCUGAUGCUGGGGAGCAGCAGAGGUGGUGACUACUUCAUGUUGGACUGCUAUCCAGGAACAGGUCCAACUGCUAGCAUAACUGGGCAUCGACAGGGGAAGUGCUGGUGCUCUUGGACAUCUCAGCGGCCUUCGAUACCAUUGACCACAGUAUC